rnacentral:tRNA from 1 species
GCGGGCGUAGCUUAGUGGUUUAAAGCGCUUCCCUGUCACGGAAGAGACCGCCGGUUCAAAUCCGGUCGCCCGCG